rnacentral:hammerhead_ribozyme from 1 species
AUCCAGUCGAAGACUCUCAAAUAGGACGAAACGCGCGUACUGGAU